rnacentral:rRNA from 1 species
UGAUGACGAGACGCUAAGGCGUUGAAGCAGUGUAUGUCAGACUUCCAAGAAAAGCUCGCAAUGUCACUAAUAAAAAAUGCCUGUACCAUAACCGACACAGGUGGGUAGAUAGAGUAUACUAAGGGGCGCGCGAUAACUCUCUCUAAGGAACUCGGCAAAAUGACUCCGUAACUUCGGGAGAAGGAGUGCCUUAUUUAUAAGGUUCAAUAACAAGAUCCAAGCAACUGUUUAUCAAAACACAGGUCUCCGCUAAGUCGUAAGACGAUGUAUGGGGGCUGACGCCUGCCCAGUGCCAGAAGGUUAAAGAAGUUGGUUAGUGUAUGCGAAGCUGAUGACUGAAGCCCUGGUGAACGGCGGCCGUAACAAUAACGGUCCUAAGGUAGCGAAAUUCCUUGUCGGGUAAGUUCCGACCCGCACGAAAGGCGUAAUGAUUUGGAUACUGUCUCGGAGAGAGGCUCGGUGAAAUAGACUUGUCUGUGAAGAUGCGGACUACCUGCACCAGGACAGAAAGACCCUAUGAAGCUUUACUGUAACUUGAAAUUGGAAUUGGACUUUGCUUGCGCAGUAUAGGUGGGAAGCGUUGAAAAUAUUCUUGCGGGAGUAUUGGAGCUAUCAGUGAGAUACCACUCUUGUAAUGUUAGAUUUCUAACUUUGAACCAUAAUCUGGUCAAAGAACAGUUUCAGGUGGGCAGUUUGACUGGGGCGGUCGCCUCCCAAAUGGUAACGGAGGCGUACAAAGGUUUCCUCUGAACGGAUAGAAAUCGUAUCUAGAGUGUAAAGGCAUAAGGAAGCUUGACUGUGAGACCUACAAGUCGAGCAGGGACGAAAGUCGGUCUUAGUGAUCUGACGGUACUGAGUGGAAAGGCCGUCACUCAACGGAUAAAAGUUACUCUAGGAUAACAGGCUGAUCUCCCCCAAGAGUUCACAUCGACGGGGAGGUUUGGCACCUCGAUGUCGGCUCAUCGCAUCCUGGGGCGGUAGUACGUCCCAAGGGUUGGGCUGUUCGCCCAUGAAAGCGGUACGCGAGCUGGGUUCAGAACGUCGUGAGACAGUUCGGUCCAUAUCCGGUGUAGGCGCUAGAAUAUUGAGAGGAGCCUUCUUUAGUACGAGAGGACCGAGAAGGACACACCGCUGGUGUACCAGUUAUCGUGCCAACGGUAAACGCUGGGUAGCUAUGUGUGGAGUGGAUAACCGCUGAGAGCAUCUAAGUGGGAAGCCCACCUCGAGAUGAG